CAGGCUCCAGUUGUGCUGGGUUGUGUCACCCCACGAUGUCACUGUUGCUGAGCCCCCAUCGCCUCUGUGUUGUGGAGCAGUUAGAGGCACACAGCAGAGUCCGUGAGUGGCUCUGCAUGAAGGACUGUUUUCUACAUGAGAAGCACAUCUCAGCACAGCUGACUCAUCAGACUCAGCAAUUCCAUUCUGAAUCUCCUCUGGACACCCCCAGGACCACCAGGACAACCCCAUCAGGGCCCUGUCACCAGGCCCAGUCUGGCUCCAUGAUAACCAAGACGCAGGUCCAGAGACAAGCGCCCUGCAUGGUGCCUGCAUGUGACUCCCCUUGGUGGGUAGUGACCAGCUCACCACGGAAGAAGCCAGGGCAGCAUGCGGCCAUCUGCCCUGCAGCCCCAGAUGACUCCUGGGCCUUAAGAAGUCAUUCUUAAAGGGAAAGCUGGUCACUUUGAGGUCCCUGGAAGGAAGGGUGAAUGUGUCAUCCCAACAGCCCUGGCAGCCAGCAGCAUGCCAUACAUCUUCUCACCCGAUCUUUGUGACAGAGGCCACCUUCUGGGGCACAAGUCCCAUACCUAAAGGGUCCUAUCUCAGUCGGCCUCAUCCUGAGCCCUGGGAUGGGAGAGGCACCAUGCACACCCCUGCAGCAGCCAGGAUUACCACCCAGGGGACUCAUCCUUCUGUGGCCCUGGCCAGACUUAGAAUUUGGCCCAAGACAGGACAAGCUCAGUCAGAGCAGCUUGUCAGUACCCAGAGUCUAUGUAUGCCAGACAUGGCCAAGCUGGCUCAAAGAGCAACCAGCCACCUCUGCAAGGGUGUGCCAGGAGCAGGUGGACCAGCCACCAACCUCAUCCACUCAAGUAAACAGAGAUGGCCAGCUUCUCACACCCUGAGUGACCACCACCUGACAGCUGAUGAAGUGGAGGCCUGAGGAAAAGCAGAUGGCACUGGGGCCCUGCUUCCAGGGCAGAAUAACUGAUUGACCCUGACUGGCAGUGAGUUGGUGACUGGUCCACCUGCUCCUGGCACACCCUUGCAGAGGUGGCUGGUUGCUCUUUGAGCCAGCUUGGCCUUGCCUGGCAUGCACAGGCCUCAGUGCAACAACUGUGCUGCAAAUGGAGUCACAUAGAGGAUAUGAGCAGCAGCCUCAGGAGCAGGCUGUGCACUGCCUUUGGGGCUCCAGCCCAUGCAUCAGGGCUUCUACAGCACUGUGGGCUUCUUGGGUGCCAAGAGGCAGACCACAGACCAUCCUGAGGAGGACUCUGGUAAGAGCUUCCUUGUGUAUGUGGAUGAUGUCCAGGAUGUUGGCCUGGUGUCCCUGAGGCAGCACUAACAGGUCCAUGACUGGGUCCAGGUCCUGCCUGGGCUGAUUGGCGAAGAUCUCCCUGGCAGCAUUGAAGGCAUUGGUGGUGAAGUGGCAUCUAUGUUCAAGUGCAGAAAGGGCCCAGUCUGGUGGAUGAACCACACGGCCAGCUUCUGGGUGUGGGCACGGUGCCACAUCCUUUGUCACUUCCUGAUGUUCCCCACCAGCACUGAAGAGACAGCGUGGAGACAGGGCAAGAGGAAGGCUGAGAAGGAUGAGAUGGUGAGUCCCAGAUUCUUCCUGUCCCUGAGCCCACCCUGAGUGACCCUCAACCUUUAGGAAUGGGAGAGCAAGAUUGACAGCUUCAAGUACUUCACCGAGAAGAUAGACAACAGGGCACUCAGCUCAACUUCACAGCCAGUGAGUUGACAUGCAAGCAGAUGAUGGUAACAGGCUUUAAGAAAGGGCAUCAGAUGGCAGCCAGUACUUCAGCCUCAGCCAGGCAUUGGAGUUGGACCAGGCCAUCCACUUCACCAUAGAGGCCUUCCACACUAUCAGUGAGCUCUUUGCCAGUCAGCCCAGGCAGGACCUGGACCCAGUCAUGGACCUGUUAGUGCUGUCUCAGGGACACCAGACCAACAUCCUGGACAUCAUCCACAUGCACAAGGACGCUCUUACCAAAGUCACGGAGAGCCGGCAAUAUGUGACAGAAGUGAAGACAGAGGUGCAGAGGCUGAUGACGUCAGAAUCGCAGGAACAGGAUUUCUUUGGCUACUUUGGCUGAAAUUCACCACUUUCAUCCAAUUCCAGUGAGAGACAUGGACUCACAGAUGCUGCAUUUCUUGCAGCAAAAGAUACUGUUUUUUCAAAAUGCCACCCAGGAAUUGAUAGUGUUGAAUGACUAGAUACUCGAUCGUGGACUGCUUCCAGUUCAAGGAUUCAUUCUACAGAGAAUAAUAACACUAGAGCAAAGAGCUAGUGCACGCUAUCGGUGGUAGCACAAGGAUGGUUUUGUGAUCAACUGAAAUCCAGGUGAAUACAGAAUUGUGUAGGAAACAGUUAAUAUGAUGAUACAAUAGAAACAGUAGCAAACAUGAAUUAAAUCAUGCUAUGAAUGCCUAAACUACCAUUGUAACUUUUGGAAGAAUAAUACCACUUUACUGCUUUUUGAAGUAUGAAUAUUUUAGUGUAUGUGCUAUAGGCCUCAAAUCCUAUAAAGAAUCUCCGAGAAGUUGGCUGGAUAAAUCCUGCUGUGGAUGUCUUUAUACUCAAAGAUUAAUGAUGUAAUUUGCAUUGUCCCCACCAAAUCUCCUGUUGAAUUAUACUUCCUAUUGUGGAAGGUGGAUCCUGGUAUAAGGUGAUUGAAUUGUGAAGGCAAAUUUCUCAUGAAUGGUUCAGCACCAUCCCCUUGUAGCAUCCUCACAAUCAUGAGCAACUUCUCAUGAGAUCUAGUCACUGAAAACUCUACAUCACCUCCCUACUCUCCGUGUUUUCCUCUUGCCAUGUGAGACAACUUACUCACUCUUUCUUUGCCUUCCACGAUGAUUGAUAGAUGUCUGAGUCCUCCCAGAAGCAGAAGCCACUGUGCUUCCUGUCCACCCUGCAGAACCAUGAGUCAAUUCAACCUCUUUUUCAAAACAAAUCAUACAGAAAAUGGCAAAUGAGGAUUGGAACAUUGCUAUAAAGAUACUCAAGGAUGUGGAAGCAGCUUUGGAACCAUGUAAUGGGCAGAGGUUGGAAGAGUUUGGAGGGCUCAAAAGAAGACAGAUAGAUGAGAAAACUUUUGGAACAUCAUAGAGACUGUUUAAAUGGUUGUGACAAAAAUCCUGAUGGAACAUGGAUAGUGAAGGCCAGGCUGAGGAGGUCUCAGAUAUAAGAAGAUUUCUGGAAAACGUCUUCCUUUUGGAUAUGGAAAGCUUAAUACAAUGUCUGUACCAUCAUUGUGCCUUAGAAGCAGUGAAUUCCCUUUCUAUUUCCGAGGCUCAUAGGCAAAAGUGACUGUUGCCUUGACUCAGAUGAGACUUUGGACUUUGUAACUUUGAGUUAAUGCUGAAAGGAAUUAAUGCUGAAAUGAGUUAAGACUCAUGCUGGAAAGGCAGGAUUGUAUUUUGCAAUGUGAGAAGGACAUGAGAUUCAUGGGAUCAGGGACUAUUCUGUCCCUGUGUCCCUACCAAAACUCAUGCGGAAUUCUAUUUCCUAAUGUUAGUGAUGGGGCCUAGGUGGCAAAAGAUUUAGUCAUAAAAGUGUAGGGGUGGAUCAUUCACGAAUGAUGAAGCACCAUCCCUUGAUGCUGUCCUGAGAGUGAGUGAGUGCUCAUGUGAUCUGGUUGUUUAACAGGCUGUGGAACCUCUGUCCUCAUUUUGUGUUCCUCCUACUCCUGCCUUAGGAGACAUCUCAUCGUCCCUUGGUUUUAUGAUAUAAUUAGGAGGCUUCCUGAUUCCUUCCAGAAACAAAAGACACUAAGCUUCCUUCACUGCUUGCAGAAUCAUGAGUCAAUUAAACCUCUUUUAUUUACAAUAAUAAAGAAAAGUAAAACUGCCAAGAGGAGCUGUGAGAUGUCUUCAAGGCCUUUUUCCCUUUGUCUUGGCUAUUAGCACAGGGCUUUUUUGUAUGCAAAUUUCUGAAGUCUUCUUCAAUUUUUCCCCUUAAAUUGGGUUUUGCAUUAUUACUACAUAGUCAGCCUGCUAUACAGAUACCUGAAAAAGUAGAAGCAGGCUCAGUAGUGGCUAGCAAACAAAGAUUGGAAGGGUUUGGAGGGAUUGGAGCAUGAUGGAAAGAUGAGGGACGGGGAGGGAGUGAUUUAAUUAUGGAUGGGCGGGGGGUGUGGAAGGAAAUAAGGGGAGAGGGUGGGAAGGAAUAGGCUGGCUGUAGGGUGGUUUCGAGGGUGGUGGGUAGUAGGCAGGGGUAGUAGCCUGCUGCAGAGGCAGAGCCUCAUGGAAAACCCCUACUAGGGCAGUGCACCUGUGGCUUUGCAGGUUUGAGCCCGCAUUGCCACUGUCAAGGACUCGACUCGUGUUCAGUGCCUGUAGCUUGUCCACACUGAGGGUGCAAGCUGUUGGUGGGACUAUGAUUCUGGGGGUUGGAGGGUGGUAGCCACCUGCGUGGGGGGCUCCAAGUCCAUAUUUUUCCUUCAGCACUGCCCUAGUAGAAGUUUACCAAGAACCCUGCCUCUGCAGCAGGCUUCUGCCUGGAAACAGCAGGGGGUGGGGGUGGCAGGCAUAUCCUUCACCAAUGGUUAAGCACCAUCUUCUUGAUGCUGUCCUUGUGAUAGUGUGUUCCCAUGAGAUCUGGUUAUAUAACAGGGUGUGGCACCUCUUUCCUCUCUCAGUCUUGCUUCUACUCCUGCCAUAUGUAGCAUGUCCUUGCCCCUAGGCCUUCUGGUAUGAUGGGGAGGUUUCCUGAGUCCUCCCAGAAGCAGAAGCCACUAUGCUUCCUUUACAGCCUGCUGAACCAUGAGCCAGUUAAACCUCUUUUCUUUAUGAUCAUAUGGAAAAUUAGUGCUGUAAAGUGGAGCCCUGAAAUGCUUUCAAGGCCCUUUCCUCUUUGUCUUGGCAACCAGCACUCAGCUCUUUUCAUGCAAAUAUUUGAAACCUUUGUGAAUUUUCCCCCGAAAAUGGACUUUUCUUCUUUUAUUACAUUGCCAGGCUGUGACAAAGAGAGCUGACAAUGUAGAAGCAGGUUCAGAAGUAGGUAAAAGACAGAGGUCGGGAGAGUUGGGAAAGCUAAGAAGACAGCAAGAUGAGGAAAAGUUUGGACCACUGUAGAGAAUUGUUAAAUACUUGUGAUCAGAAGGCUGACAAAGGAUAAACACUGAAGUCCAGACUUAAAAGGUCUCAGAUGAAAAUGAGGAAUUUCCUGUUAACAGGAGUCAAGGUUCCAUUUGAUUGGCCUUAGCAAAGAACAUGGCUGUGCAGUGACCCUGCCCCAGAGAUCUGUGAACUAUGAAC
rnacentral:lncRNA from 1 species